CCAAUGAAUCCUUAUCUUGGCAUUAGACAAGUACUUCAACACUUAGUAAGGGAGUUAAUCAGACAGACAGCGAAGAUGAAACUGAUGCUUGUUUUAGUUGGUAUUUGCACAAUACUUGCCCUUGGGCAUGCAUGGUCUGUCUUCUCCCAUAACCCAAUCCCCAGCCAAGAACCAUGUAGCCAGCCGCUGACCGUGUGUGAUGUUGACCCCUGCAUCGGACGUACCUGCAGAUAUCUAUCAGCCGUCUGCGUGCCCGACUAUUGUGGUGGAUGCAACUACAAGUUCUAUACGAAUGGUCUUCUAAUAAAUGACAACACAUGUAAUACAAUCCUUGUUGGCUAAUAACGUAAUCUUGCCUCAGUUCAUUAAACAAACAUGUGCUGAUUUCA